GUCCACGCCGUAAACGAUGGGUACUAGGCGUCGGGGGAGCGACCCUCCCGGUGCCGUCGCUAACGCAGUAAGUACCCCGCCUGGGGAGUACGGCCGCAAGGCUGAAACUCAAAGGAAUUGACGGGGGCCCGCACAAGCGGUGGAGCAUGUGGUUUAAUUCGAAGCAACGCGAAGAACCUUACCUGGGCUUGACAUGCACGGGAAAGCCGGUGGAAACAUCGGCCCCUCUUCGGAGUCCGUGCACAGGUGCUGCAUGGCUGUCGU
rnacentral:rRNA from 1 species